ensembl:lncRNA
GCCUUGGUAUUUAUUUAAGCAAACUAGUCCAACAUUCACAUUACAUUUCACAACCUGGCCCAGCUGUGAAAGAGGAACUCCAGGAUAAUAUUUUGCACGACAUUCUACUUCCUUUGGCACUGAGCAAAUUGUGUGAUAGAUUUCAGUUAUUCUUUUAAUAGGUACUAUUUUUCCACCCUCAGGACCUUUUGUUGGUCCACCAAAGUCGUUCCAGUCUGACCAAUGACAAUUACAUCCAGGGGUAGGAGUAAGUGUGGUGGUUCUCAAUGUUGUGGAAGUUAUAGAAGUCAUUGAUGGAUUUGUAGAUGCUUUUGUUGUUGGAGUUGUAGAUAUGUUUGUCAUACUGGAGGAAGUUUGGACUGAAGUUGUUUUAGUCAGUGUUGUAGUCAUGCCAGUUGAAAACACUAGUGAUGUUGUUUUCAUUGUUGAUGGAGUUGUGGGUAUGCUUUUAUCUGUGGUGUAACUCUGGACUGUUGGUUUGGUAACUUCUUGUGUAAAUCUUCUUGUUGAAUAAUUUGAAGUUGUGGCAGAAUAAAUUGUGGAAGAUGUUGCUGUAGUAGCUGAUAGGUUUAUACUUGUGGAGGAAAUCAGGCUUGUUGAUGCCAUAAUUGGCGUUGUAGGUAUGUUGAUUGAAAAAGUUGGUGAAGAUGUACCAGUAGAAAUUAUUGUUGAUUUGUCUGUGGAUAUUCCUGUAACAGUGGAGGAACUUUGGACCACUGAUGUUGUACUUGGUGUGCUAGUAUCUGACUUGAGCACUGCCCAGUUGGAUUUCUGCAGGUCUGCAGACAAGGAGCUCCGCAAGGUUUGUACUGCCAAUCACAGUUUCCAGGAGCAUUGUAAUAAUCACAGAACAACGCUGUAAGAGAGAAAAAAAGGUUUUGUUUAAUGUCUUUUUUUCUCUGAUGGUCUCUUUCAGUGAUUCAAAUUAAACUAAGAAAAUUAGCAGUGUCUCACGGCAUAUUUUAGGUGUUCUCCAGGCAACACAGGCUCCAGCCUCAUUACAGGCUUGUGCAUAGGCUGCUAUAGCAGUGCAUAAACAGUCAUGAUCCCCACCGCUAUCACAAGCACAUGAGUCUCUCACACAAGCAUCAUAAAAAUGAUUGGGAUCCACCUUAAUUAGAAAAAUGCAAUUCGAUUAUACAUACACGAACAACGGGGUAUUGUACAAGCUCACCAUGCUGCAUGUUAACUUACUUGAUAAUGGCAUGUUGUAAAAACUCCACUCUUAAUGAUACUACAUUCUUUCUGAGCCCAUGAUUGCCUGUAAGGAUUAUUUGAGCAGGGAUUUCUAAUUUCCGUAGUAACAGGACAGCUAUUAGACUCUUUCCAAUCGUUUCCAAAGUCCAAGGGUUUAAUUACAACCUCGUGACUUCUCAACAUAAAGUCAUUGUUUGCAUUCCCAUCAAAGUUCCCGCAAAGACCACAAACAGCACCCUGUGACAGAACAAGAUGCAAGUUAACUAACAUAUCAAACAAAAAGAUCCAAACAAGCCUUUCAAGACAACUCAGUCUAAACAAUAAACUGUAGUCUCUGAGGCA